UUUUGUAACUGGUGUUUUAUUUUGCGUAGAAAAACGGUUAUAAACAGGUGUGUCAAUGGUAUAUAAACAACCGGAUUCCAUAUGUUCCAAACACCCGUGUUUGACUAUUCCAUUACACACCAAAACACAAGAAUGAAAAUAUUGAAGAUUAUGUGUGCGAUAUUCAUGAUGCUUAUGGCAGUUUUAAUAGGAUCAGUCAGUGGACGGCCACCAUCCGGUCAACCAAUGCAACGGCUUCAGUUUGGCAGAUUAAGGCCACCAAAUGGAGGGUUUCGUUUGAACAGAGUUAAAAGAGGUGCUUAUGGCCACUAUUUGGAUAGAACCAUAAGAUAACUGGUGAAAAGAGAUUAGAAGGUCUGUGGCACCACACACUAGAUAUCUCAUCAUUGAAGCCGAACUAAAUAAAUAAAAUUUGAUUUGAAGUUGA